GACGAACGCUGGCGGCGUGCUUAACACAUGCAAGUCGAGCGAGAAAGCGGCUUCGGCCGUGAGUACAGCGGCGAACGGGUGAGUAACACGUGGGCAACCUGCCCCAGAGAUUGGGAUAACGUCCCGAAAGGGACGCUAAUACCGAAUAACGCGUGACCUGCCAAGUGGGUCACGCCAAAUGGUAGCCUCGGCCUCUGCUCUGGGAUGGGCCCGCGCCGGAUUAGCUUGUUGGUAGGGUAACGGCCUACCAAGGCGACGAUCCGUAGCUGGUCUGAGAGGACGAUCAGCCACACUGGGACUGAGACACGGCCCAGACUCCUACGGGAGACAGCAGUGGGGAAUCUUGCGCAAUGGGCGAAAGCCUGACGCAGCAACGCCGCGUGAGCGAAGACGGCCUUCGGGUUGUAAAGCUCUGUCAGGAGGGACGAAGCCACUCGGGUGAAUAGCCCAGAGGGUGACGGUACCUCCAGAGGAAGCCCCGGCUAACUACGUGCCAGCAGCCGCCGUAA
rnacentral:rRNA from 1 species